rnacentral:sRNA from 1 species
GUUAAAAAAAAAAAAAAAGCAGAGACUCUAGUCUUAGACCGCUUGGGCUCAAAUCCCUGUCCCCUACUUACUAACUUGUGAUCUCGGGCAAGUUACUUAAUUCUCAGUGCCUCAGUUUGCUUAUCUGUGAAAGACAUAAUGAUACUAGGUACCCACUUUAAGGUGUUUGGAGAAUUAAGUGUGUUAAUUUAUGUAGCUUGCUGUGAAUGUGCCUGGCACAUGGUGAGCUCUCAGUACAUAUUCACUGUUAUUAUCCUUGGCCUUUGACAAUCAAGAUUACCACCAGCCCCCUUGGCUGGUGAAGUGAAACCAGUUGACAGUCACCCCCCACCCCACUUUUGUCAUACAAGCCUCAAAAGGCUGGAGUCUUGGCUCACUACAGCUUCAGCCUCUGGAGCUCAAGUGAUCCUCCUGCCUCACCCCGCAAGCAGCUGGGAGUACACACAUGUGCCACCACGCCUGGCUAUUUUUAUUUUUUGUAGAGAUGGGGUUUCACCAUGCUGCCCAGGCUGGUCUCGAACUCCUCACCUUAGGCAACCCACCCAUCUUGGCCUCCCAGAGUGCUGGGAUUACAGGCAUGGGCCACUGCACCCAGCUAACAUGUUUGUAACAUCUGAUUUAAGGUCUUUAUCCAAUAAGGUCAGUGUCAGCUUCCUCGGGCGCAGUUUGCAUUGAUUGCUUUUUUUCCUCCCCUGUGUCUGGGCCAUGCUUCUUUGCAUGUUUCAGAAUUUUGUUAAAAGCUGGACAUUUUAAGUAACAUAAUGUGGCAACUGUGGAAAUCAUAUUCUCCUCCCUCCCCAUGGUGGUGCCUUUUUCUUGUUUAAUGCCUUUUCUGAACUAAUUAUGUAAAGUUGUGUUCUUUGUCAUGUGUGGCCACUAUAGUCUCUGCUUGAUUAGCUUAGUGGUCCUCUAACCAUUAGAUCUCCUUAAUUGCCUGGAACCCAUAAGUCACUCAGCCAAGAGUUUAUAACUGCCUUAGACUUUACUUCCUCAUUCUGCAGAGGCUUAAGGUAGCCAGUGGUGAGAGCUUAGGCUUUCUAGAUCUUACCUGAGCAUGCACACAGCACUGGGCAUAAGCACAUCCCUAUGCAUAUGAAUGGCCUUCUAGACUCCCAGGAGUACGUCACAGCCUUUCAAAGCCCCCUGUAGCCAUCUCAUAGUAACAGAAAGCAGAUCAGUGGUUGCCUGGGUCCAGUAGUAGCGGGACGGUUGCACAGGAAGUGAUGAAAAUGUUCUGUAACUUCACUGCGAGGGAGGUUACACAGGUACAUACAUUUGUCACCUCACGUUGAACUUUAUACUUUAAACACAGUUUAUAUGUAAACUAUACCUCAACAAAGCUGAUGUUUUUAAAGAUGUAGUUUAAAAAACGAAACAAAAAACAUGGUCUGCAGGAGACACCUUGCUCGUGAUCCUCUAAAACACAGGUCUCCACUCAGAUACCUGCAGGACGAGGACAGGGUGGGCGAGGGAAAGGAGCCAGAGCCCUCCAGGGGUGUGAAGCAGCUUUUCCUGGGUGGGGCUUGGCGUGCUGCGCUCACUCUCCCUGGAGGAGGAAGUGCCUAAUCCAGUCCUCUGGGUCUGGGCCCAGGAGAUGGGGCCUUAAAGCCUCUCUUGGUAAAGACUAGCCCUGUGGGAACAAACAGGACACCCUCUCCUCUGAUUCUGUAUCUUCUAGGGGCUCCUACUGUACUUCAGGGAUACCUGACCUGGGUUGCAGUCACAUUAGCUCCUGGAAAGCCAGGACAGCCCGUGUUGAACCCCACUUACUACUGCUGAGGACUGUGCGCCCUAAGGGGUUUGGGGCCUCUGCUCUUGCCACUGGCCUUGGAACACGUGUGGCAGUUCUUCUGCCUCACCCUCACUCUGGGGCAUGGCCCACUCUGCCAGGGCAUCUGACAUGUUCUUUGUCCCUGGCUCAGUUUGGGGGCAGCCCAGUGUCCUGCGCUGUGGGGCUGGCCGUCCUGAAUGUCUUGGAGAAGGAGCAGCUCCAGGAUCAUGCCACCAGUGUAGGCAGCUUCCUGAUGGAGCUCCUCGGGCAGCAAAAAAUCAAACAUCCCAUCGUCGGGGAUGUCAGGGGUGUUGGGCUCUUCAUUGGUGUGGAUCUGAUCAAAGAUGAGGCCACAAGGACACCAGCAACUGAAGAGGCUGCCUACUUGGUAUCAAGGCUGAAGGAGAACUACGUUUUGCUGAGCACUGAUGGCCCUGGGAGGAACAUCCUGAAGUUUAAGCCCCCAAUGUGCUUCAGCCUGGACAAUGCACGGCAGGUGGUGGCAAAGCUGGAUGCCAUUCUGACUGACAUGGAAGAGAAGGUGAGAAGUUGUGAAACGCUGAGGCUCCAGCCCUAAGCCAGCCCUGCUCUGCCUAGGUGUACUCCAGAAGAAACUCAUCUCAUCCAAAUACACGCUAUUGAGAAGGCGAGCCUGACCUCCCUCUUACAGAUAAAGUCAGCUUUCAGAGGCUCAGGGUGGGGGGCCUGCCCAAGGCCAUAAUGCUACCCACCCCCUCCUCCUAACCACUGGUCUGUUGGGAUAACCCAGAUGUCUGCAUCCCCUCAAGUCAGUCAAUUUCCUUUCUGUCCACUGGGGGUGGAAUGGGGUAGGGUGGGGUACUUUAAAGUGCUCCUGCUUAAAUAAGUUAGACCAGACCAGUGUAUUUCUAAAGAAAAUCCUGACAUGCACACCCAUUAAAAAUAGUACAUUUUACAGUG